CAGCAGCCGCGGGAAAACGGAGGGUGCAAGCGUUAAUCGGAAUUACUGGGCGUAAAGCGCACGCAGGCGGUCUGACAAGUCAGAUGUGAAAUCCCCGGGCUUAACCUGGGAACUGCAUUUGAAACUGUCAGGCUGGAGUCUUGUAGAGGGGGGUAGAAUUCCAGGUGUAGCGGUGAAAUGCGUAGAGAUCUGGAGGAAUACCGGUGGCGAAGGCGGCCCCCUGGACAAAGACUGACGCUCAGGUGCGAAAGCGUGGGGAGCAAACAGGAUUAGAUACCCCGGUAGUCCCUGUCUCAUACAC
rnacentral:rRNA from 1 species